rnacentral:rRNA from 1 species
GAUGAACGCUGGCGGCGUGCCUAAUACAUGCAAGUCGAGCGAACAGAUGAGGAGCUUGCUCCUCUGACGUUAGCGGCGGACGGGUGAGUAACACGUGGAUAACCUACCUAUAAGACUGGGAUAACUUCGGGAAACCGGAGCUAAUACCGGAUAAUAUAUUGAACCGCAUGGUUCAAUAGUGAAAGACGGUUUUGCUGUCACUUAUAGAUGGAUCCGCGCCGCAUUAGCUAGUUGGUAAGGUAACGGCUUACCAAGGCGACGAUGCGUAGCCGACCUGAGAGGGUGAUCGGCCACACUGGAACUGAGACACGGUCCAGACUCCUACGGGAGGCAGCAGUAGGGAAUCUUCCGCAAUGGGCGAAAGCUUGACGGAGCAACGCCGCGUGAGUGAUGAAGGUCUUCGGAUCGUAAAACUCUGUUAUUAGGGAAGAACAAAUGUGUAAGUAACUAUGCACGUCUUGACGGUACCUAGUCAGAAAGCCACGGCUAACUACGUG